GGCGCCUCGCCAACCUGGUCAGGUCCGGAAGGAAGCAGCCACAACGAGCCCCGCUUGGGUCGAUGUCCAGCCUCU
rnacentral:SRP_RNA from 1 species